UGUACUUCUAUCAAUUUGGCAUUUCAAAAAUUCAGACAAAACAAUAUUAUCUAUUAUGUUAAUAAUCGUAAAUAUUUCAUUUUAGGAAUUGAUGAACACAUAAUGUUAAAAACUAUAAUAAUUAACGUUACAUUCUUGUUGGUUUGCUAUUUAAAUAUAAUAAUAAGUGUGGUAUACGAUCUUGACAAUGCUAGAGAUAUUUUUGAACUGUUCAAAGAUAAAUAUAAUAAGAAAUACAAAGGUGAAAUGGAGGAAAACACGCGAUUAAAUAACUUUGUUGUUACUUUGAAUAAAGUGUCUCGCCUGAAUGAAGCAGAAUUAGACAAAAAUACAUUUUAUAUCGUCAAUCAAUAUGCAGAUUUGAAUCCAGAAGAGAUAGACGAACAUUAUGCCAUUCAAAUUAAACCUUAUUUUAAGGUGAGUAACACAGAAGCUGAAUACGCAGGACGACAGCGAAAUAAAGAAGUAAAUACAAGUGAGCUUUACGACUUAGAUAACGCCCAAGAGCUUUAUAAACAAUACAUAGAGAAGUACAAUAAGACGAACUACAAGAAAAAAUACAAUCAGCAAAUUCACUUCUAUAGAUUUGUUAAAACACUAGUGGAGUUAAAUAAUAACUAUUUUAAAGACUCUGGAAAUGUAACGAUUGAUGAGAAUGCUGAUGUUAUAAGGGAACCAAAUGAAUAUUUUUACUGAUAUCCGACGAUGCCGGACAAGGACCCGGGUAUAAUUGGAGCUCCCAAAUUAGCGAAGCCUGGAAGACAAAUAUAAAUUAAUAAUUGUGUGUCGU